rnacentral:rRNA from 1 species
UAGUCCACGCCGUAAACGAUGGAUACUCGUUGUCGGGGAAGUUAUUCUUCGGUGACCAAGCUAACGCAUUAAGUAUCCCGCCUGGGGAGUACGAUCGCAAGGUUGAAACUCAAAGGAAUUGACGGGGGCCCGCACAAGCGGUGGAGCAUGUGGUUUAAUUCGAUGCAACGCGAAGAACCUUACCUGGGCUUAAACUGUAAGAGAACAAAGCAGAGACGCUGCGGUUCCUUCGGGACUCUUAUAGAGGUGCUGCAUGGCUGUCGUCAGCUCGUGUCGUGAGACGUUCGGUUAAGUCCGGCAACGAGCGCAACCCUUGUCCUUAGUUGCCAGCACAUUAUGGUGGGAACUCUAAGGAGACUGCCCGGGUUAACCGGGAGGAAGGUGGGGAUGACGUCAAGUCCUCAUGGCCCUUACGUCCAGGGCUACACACGUGCUACAAUGGAUGGUACAACGAGACGCGAAGCCGCAAGGUGUAGCCAAUCUCUGAAAACCNUUCUCAGUUCGGAUUGCAGGCUGC